rnacentral:rRNA from 1 species
CCCGGCGGUGACACCGGAGGGGCCACACCUCUUCCCAUUCCGAACAGAGUAGUUAAGCCCUCCAGGGCCGAUGGUACUGCGCUGGCAACGGCGUGGGAGAGUAGGACGCUGCCGGGU